UGAGAGGUGGGUGGAUGAGGUGAGCGGGAGUGGCUAGUGGGCUAAACUAAAAGAGAAGGCUGAGAGGAGGGUGGAUGAGGUGAGCGGGAGUGGCUAGUGGGCUAAACUAAAAGAGAAGGCUGAGAGGAGGGUGGAUGAGGUGAGCGGGAGUGGCUAGUGGGCUAAACUAAAAGAGAAGGCUGAGAGGUGGGUGGAUGAGGUGAGCGGGAGAGGCUAGUGGACUAAACUAAAAGAGAAGGCUGAGAGGUGGGUGGAUGAGGUGAGCGGGAGUGGCUAGUGGGCUAAACUAAAAGAGAAGGCUGAGAGGUGGGUGGAUGAGGUGAGCGGGAGUGGCUAGUGGGCUAAACUAAAAGAGAAGGCUGAGAGGUGGGUGGAUGAGGUGAGCGGGAGUGGCUAGUGGGCUAAACUAAAAGAGAAGUCUGAGAGGUGGGUGGAUGAGGUGAGCGGGAGAGGCUAGUGGACUAAACUAAAAGAGAAGGCUGAGAGGUGGGUGGAUGAGGUGAGCGGGAGUGGCUAGUGGGCUAAACUAAAAGAGAAGGCUGAGAGGUGGGUGGAUGAGGUGAGCGGGAGUGGCUAGUGGGCUAAACUAAAAGAGAAGGCUGAGAGGUGGGUGGAUGAGGUGAGCGGGAGAGGCUAGUGGACUAAACUAAAAGAGAAGGCUGAGAGGUGGGUGGAUGAGGUGAGCGGGAGAGGCUAGUGGACUAAACUAAAAGAGAAGGCUGAGAGGUGGGUGGAUGAGGUGAGCGGGAGAGGCUAGUGGACUAAACUAAAAGAACACUGCCUACAUUGAGGAGAGAGGUCUAGGACACUGCCUACAUUGAGAAGAGAGGUCUAGGACACUGCCUACAUUGAGGAGAGAGGUCUA